AGAUAACAAUUAGCAAGUUACUAGAAUGAUUGUAGCAUGAUUAGCAUUUUACUAGCAUGUUGCUAACAUGUUUACCAUUUUAUUAACAUGAUAACAGGGGUGGCUGCUAGGGUGUUGCUAUGCGGUUGCUAGGGUACUCUGGGUGGUUGCUAGGCCGGUUGCUAAGGUACCGAGGGUGGUUGCUAAGGUGUUUCUAUGCCGUUGCUAGGGUAUCCAGGGUGGUUGCUAGGGUGUUGCUAUGCGGUUGCUAGGGUACCCAGGGUGGUUGCUAAGGUGUUGCUAUGCCGUUGCUAGGGUAACUGGGGUGGUUGCUAGGGUGUUGCUAUGCGGUUGCUAGGGUAAUAGGGGUGGUUGCUAGUGUGUUGCUAUGCGGUUGCUAGGAUACUCGGGGUGGUUGCUAGGCCGGUUGCUAAGGUACCCAGGGUGGUUGCUAAGGUGUUGCUAUGCCGUUGCUAGGGUAUCCAGGGUGGUUGCUAGGGAGUUGCUAUGUGGUUGCUAGGGCACCCAAGGUGGUUGCUAAGGUGUUGCUAUGCCGUUGCUAGGGUGUCCAGGGUGGUUGCUAGGGUGUUGCUAUGCGGUUGCUAGAGUAACUGGGGUGGUUGCUAGGGUGGUUGCUAGGCCAUUACUAGUUGUCACAGAUCAUUACUAUGGAGUGUUGUAGAGUUCUUAGCAUGUUCUUAACCUGAUUUAGCACUUAGCUAAUCACUUUUAGCAUGUAGGUAUUCACUGCUAGCAUGACUAGCAUCUUAAGGAUUCCUAUUUGCUAGCAUGAGUCAAAAGAACCAAGUCCCAUGUCUCUAUGAUGUUCUGAUGUAGAGAUAUAGGACUUGCUAAAUGGUUGCUAGGGUACUCUGUUUGGUUGCUAGGGAGUGGCUUAAAAGCUGCCAAUGAUGACACACUAAAGGCUGCUUGCCAGUAUGAAUGAUAUAAAGCAACCCCCAUGUCUCUAUGACAUUCAGAUUUGAAGAUAUGUCUGUGUGGGUUUGGGUUACUAGGGUGCUAGCUAGCUAGCUAGCUAGCUAGCUAGAUAGAUAGAUAGAUAGAU